CCUACGGGAGUCUGCAGUGAGGAAUAUUGGUCAAUGGGCGUAACCCUGAUCCAGCGAAGCCGCGUGAGUGAUGAAGGUUCUAUGGAUCGUAAACCUCUUUUAUAGGGGAAUAAAGUGUGGGACGUGUCCUAUUAUGUAUGGACCUUAUGAAUCAGGCUCGGCUAACUACGUGCCAGCAGCCGCGGUAAUACGGAGGAACCGAGCGUUAUCCGGAUUUAUUGGGGUUAAAGGGUGCGUAGUCGGCCUUUUAAGUCUGCAGUGAAAGUCCAUGGCUUAACCAUAGAAGUGCUGUUGAAACUGGGGAGCUGGAGUGUGUUAGAGGCAGGCGGAAUGCGUGGUGUAGCGGUGAAAUGCGUAGAUAUCACGCAGAACCCCGAUGGCGAAGGCGGCCUGCUAAGCCAUGACUGACGCUGAUGCACGAAAGCGUGGGGAUCAAACAGGAUUAGAUACCCCUGUAGUC
rnacentral:rRNA from 1 species